rfam:Clostridium sp. Maddingley MBC34-26 contig_203_1, whole genome shotgun sequence.
AAUUUCAUAGGUGAUGAAGUUCGCCUUUAAACAUCUCUUUGGAGAUUAAUGACUUCUACUAUAAU